rnacentral:rRNA from 1 species
ACGCUGUGGUAUUCUGGACAUGGCGGUAGCCUGAUCCAGCCAUGCCGCGUGCGGGAUGAAGGCCUUCGGGUUGUAAACUGCUUUUGUACGGAACGAAACGGCGAGCUCUAAUACAGUUUGCUAUUGACGGUACCGUAAGAAUAAGCACCGGCUAACUACGUGCCAGCAGCCGCGGUAAUC